GGGGCUGAUUCUGGAUUCGACGGGAUUUGCGAAACCCAAGGUGCAUGCCGAGGGGCGGUUGGCCUCGUAAAAAGCCGCAAAAAAAUAGUCGCAAACGACGAAACCUACGCUUUAGCAGCUUAAUAACCUGCUUAGAGCCCUCUCUCCCUAGCCUCCGCUCUUAGGACGGGGAUCAAGAGAGGUCAAACCCAAAAGAGAUCGCGCGGAUGCCCUGCCUAGGGUUGAAGCGUUAAAACGAAUCAGGCUAGUCUGGUAGUGGCGUGUCCGUCCGCAGGUGCCAGGCGAAUGUAAAGACUGACUAAGCAUGUAGUACCGAGGAUGUAGGAAUUUCGGACGCGGGUUCAACUCCCGCCAGCUCCACCA
rnacentral:tmRNA from 4 species